rnacentral:lncRNA from 1 species
GUGACUUUUUUCUCUCCAGCUGGAAUUUCUGGCCCUUCUGCCUUUGUUAGGACUGUCCCUUGUUGUGGGGGUUCUUUUUAUCCAGUUUUCAGUUUUCUAUACAGGGUAAUUUUCCCAAAAAUAAUUGUAACCUGGUUGCGUUCAUGGGAGGAGAUGAGUUCAGAGUCUGCUUACACCGCCAUCUUGACAAGAUCCGCCACUUCUACACUUCUGUUACUUCUGUUUUCAUUUUCUCCCUCCUUUGGUACAGAGCCCAUCUGGGGACCCUGUUGAGGUCAUCUGUCUCAUGGGGGUUGUGAGGAUUAAAUGUGGAGUGCUUCCAACAGUCCUUGGCACACAGUAGGUGUUCAAGUUUGGUAGUUAUUGUCAUGACCACCACCCCCAUCAUCCUCAAACCAUCACCAUCGCCAUCACCGUCAUCAUCAUCAUGACCUCGUGCUGUCACUCCUACAGUCUGAUAGUUAGGACUCUUCAGAUUGGAUACACUAGAUUUAUGCCUAAGAAUUCCCCUUGUUUCAGCAGAUAUCUGUUGAGUGCUUACCAUGAUAGCUAAAUUCUCCCCACUCCCCAUUGUCUCGUCUCCUUAUCUUCCCAUCAUGCUGUGACCCUAAGUCAGCUCUCCACUCUUAAUUUUUUUAACAAUGACCCCCCAAAGCCUCACAGUGUCCUUGAAAUUACCACUCCAUAGUCGCCAGCCUCCUCUAUUUCCUCAGCCUCUUCUUAGCCCUUCCCUCCCUCUCUUUGCCUUGGCCCUGGCCCUGCCUACGGAAUAUCCUUUUCUUGAAGCCCUGUCAAGUGGUGCCUGCAGAUCUCAGGAUUAGGGGGUACGAGAUUUAUGUCCUCUCUGCUCUUUGUCCUCCCACACCAUUUCUUUGAGAUCUAUAGUCCCCAGCUGGAGCACCCUCUCCUCCUCAUUACUCUUUUCUGCCUAAUUAGUCCCCUAUUUCAUUGAAGACUUGAUCGCCUGGCCCACAGCUUUCCUCUCUGCCUCAAUUCUGGGUGUCAUCCUAGUUGACUUCAGUGUGCAUGCGGAGGACUGAGCCUGCACACGGGGUACUCAUUUUCUUCAAUACCUCAUCUGUACUGCUGACCUCUUCUCAUCCACCUGUCCCCAUUCCCACCAUAAUACCCUGGAUUUGCAUCCUGAUGCUGCCCCACCUCACAAAUGAGCAGUGCAGCACCCUCCAGCCCUGAUCUCUUCUUUCCAGCUUGCUUGGUCACUUAAUUCAGCUGUGCCCUCAGCAUAUUUUUCCUCAGGCCCUCCAUGGUGUACUCUAUCCUUUAGAUGCUUCCUCUAUGCUGUUACCUCUCAGCUGAGCUUGGACUUCAUAGUCCAUCCAUGAUUAAUUCUCUUGGCAAUGCCUUCCUCUCCCUUGCCCUUUAGUCCCAGUAAACCCAAAACCAAACUACCCAUUUUUGUCUUGAGUACCGGAGAUAGGACUCAGAGCAGGGCAGCUGGGUACUACUUUGAGUUCAUGUCACCCCACCUCCCCUGUGCCCUCACAGAGCCUGACCAUUCUAGUAGGAUUCUCUUGUCAAGUCACUCUCCCAUGCUCCAGAAUAUUUAAUUCAGACGUUUUCCACAAACUUGUGAUUUACUCCCCCAACCCUUCAUUCUCAAGAUAAUAUGGGUGAUGUUUUGAGUAUGCUUAACAUAGAAAAUAGAAGCCUUCAGAUUGGAACUCCAUUCACUUCCUCCAAGAAACUUAACCAACCUAUCCUACUGUUAGAGUUGCAAUGCCCUCCAGCAAAGACCACCAGAAAUACAUCAGUAGGUAAACCAGUUGGGUUUAAUUACUCUUUGUAAUGAGGGAGGCCUCACAUCAUGGGGAACUCUGGAGCCUAUCAGGAUGAGGGCAUUAGAAAGAACUUACAGGAUUUGGACUUUGGUUGGAUAGUUUGGGGAAGGUUCAAGGAAACAGGGAUUUGCUCUGGACUGGGUGCUGACAGGAGGCAGGGACGAUUCUGUGAUUGUGUAGCUCAAUCAAUCCUUUCUAGAAGGAGUUGUGACUAGAGUGAGACAAACGCUGUAAUUCAUAAAGAAGCCACAGUUGCUCGCUUCAGGCAGGAGAGAGGGAUGUUUGGUAUUUUCUGGAUGGCACGACGGCCUUGUGUUUGUCUGUUUAGGCAAAAUGAUGAAGUGGUCUUGUUUUGUCUCACAUCAUUGCUGUUGCAGCAUGACCUUGUGCUGGUGUCUGUGAGAAGUUUAUGUCCAACAGGUGACCGGCAUGGCUUGUGUGAGCACGAGGCCGGCUUCUAACAGGAAAGCCUAGCUCAUGGUACCGGACCAGCUCCUGGAUGUCAGCACUGCUUUUCUUCUUUUCACAGAGGAGGAAAUAUGGAUCCCUCAAGGAGGCCUUUCUGACACCUGCAGUCAAGAUCUUGCCCCUGUUAUAUGUCCUCAUGACAGUCUCUGCAUUGCCUUGGUGGUCAUCAGCUCAGUUGUAAUUCAGACAUACUGUUUCGUGCUUUUCUGUCUAAAAGUUCUUGGUCAGCCCUAAGAAUCUCCGUGGCCUCUCGAGGAACCCGAGGCUGCAGUUCCCCGAGAGCAUAGCGGUGACCCUGCGUCCCUCUCAGCGCACCUUCCAGCUCUGAGAAGGUCAGAAACGUGUGGGCGGGGCCCCAGGAGUUCUCCCAGGAGGGUGUCCCUGUCCGCAGUCCACCGCCAGAGGGGGCUACAAUCUUAAAUGGGGUGGUCAGGGAAGGCCUUUCUGAGAUGGAGACAUUUGAGCAGAGACUCAGUGGAGUGAGGCAACGAGUCACACAGAUAUCUGGCAGAACACUCCAGAUAUAGGGAAUGCACUUGACACUUAGUAAGUGCUCAAUAAACACCAGCUCACAAUAAUGAGAAAG